rnacentral:tRNA from 1 species
GCCGGAGUGGUGGAAUGGCAGACGCGCCGGACUCAAAAUCCGGUAGGGGCAACCCUGUGCGAGUUCAAGUCUCGCCUCCGGCACCA